GCUUACAGCCAUACCACCCUGAGCACGCCCGAUCUCGUCUGAUCUCGGAAGCUAAGCAGGGUCGGGCCUGGUAAGUACCUGGAUGGGAGACCGCCUGGGAAUACCAGGUGCUGUAAGCU
rnacentral:rRNA from 1 species